rnacentral:tRNA from 1 species
GCUUCUGUAGUGUAGACCGGUCAAUUUAACACCCCUAUAUUCUAAAAAAGGAUUAAGACCAAGCAUCUGAGGCUCUCACCUUCGGGACCCGGGUUCAAAUCCCGGCAGAAGCACCA